UCCUCAUUAGCUCAGUUGGUUAGAGCACCUGACUGUUAAUCAGGGGGUCCCAGGUUCAAGUCCUGGAUGAGGAG
rnacentral:tRNA from 1 species